rnacentral:rRNA from 1 species
UAAAUACUCCUGACUGACCGAUAGUGAACCAGUACCGUGAGGGAAAGGCGAAAAGAACCCCGGCGAGGGGAGUGAAAAAGAACCUGAAACCGUGUACGUACAAGCAGUGGGAGCACGCUUCGGCGUGUGACUGCGUACCUUUUGUAUAAUGGGUCAGCGACUUAUAUUCUGUAGCAAGGUUAACCGAAUAGGGGAGCCGAAGGGAAACCGAGUCUUAACUGGGCGUUAAGUUGCAGGGUAUAGACCCGAAACCCGGUGAUCUAGCCAUGGGCAGGUUGAAGGUUGGGUAACACUAACUGGAGGACCGAACCGACUAAUGUUGAAAAAUUAGCGGAUGACUUGUGGCUGGGGGUGAAAGGCCAAUCAAACCGGGAGAUAGCUGGUUCUCCCCGAAAGCUAUUUAGGUAGCGCCUCGUGAAUUCAUCUCCGGGGGUAGAGCACUGUUUCGGCAAGGGGGUCAUCCCGACUUACCAACCCGAUGCAAACUGCGAAUACCGGAGAAUGUUAUUACGGGAGACACACGGCGGGUGCUAACGUCCGUCGUGAAGAGGGAAACAACCCAGACCGCCAGCUAAGGUCCCAAAGUCAUGGUUAAGUGGGAAACGAUGUGGGAAGGCCCAGACAGCCAGGAUGUUGGCUUAGAAGCAGCCAUCAUUUAAAGAAAGCGUAAUAGCUCACUGGUCGAGUCGGCCUGCGCGGAAGAUGUAACGGGGCUAAACCAUGCACCGAAGCUGCGGCAGCGACACUAUGUGUUGUUGGGUAGGGGAGCGUUCUGUAAGCCUGUGAAGGUGGCCUGUGAGGGUUGCUGGAGGUAUCAGAAGUGCGAAU